rnacentral:tRNA from 1 species
GAAUAUGAAGCGAUAAAUUGCAAUUAGUUUCGACCUAAUACUAGAUGAUUAUCAUCCUUAUUCU